rnacentral:siRNA from 1 species
GAACUACAAAACUCACCGUUUCUC